UAAAUAAGUCAGCCUAAUCCAAUCAUAAUUGGAGCGGAGGAACCGAAUUUUGGGGCUUAUCUCUGAGAUAAACAGAGAGGGACAUCUCUCAGUCCUAGCCCGUCAGCUAACUUCGUAGGCGUUGAGAGGAGACUGU
rnacentral:sRNA from 2 species